rnacentral:rRNA from 1 species
UACGUAGGGGGCAAGCGUUGUCCGGAAUCAUUGGGCGUAAAGAGCGUGUAGGCGGCUCGGUAAGUCCGCUCUGAAAGCCCGGGGCUCAACCCCGGGAGGCGGGCGGAUACUGUCGGGCUAGAGUCCGGAAGAGGCGAGUGGAAUUCCUGGUGUAGCGGUGAAAUGCGCAGAUAUCAGGAGGAACACCAAUGGCGAAGGCAGCACUCUGGGACGUGACUGACGCUGAGACGCGAAAGCGUGGGGAGCAAACAGG